rnacentral:rRNA from 1 species
UACGAAGGGUGCAAACGUUGCUCGGAAUCAUUGGGCGUAAAGCGCACGUAGGCGGCUUGCCAAGUCGGACGUGAAAUCCCUCAGCUCAACUGAGGACGUGCAUCCGAAACUGGCGAGCUUGAGUACUGAAGAGGAUCGCGGAAUUCCCGGUGUAGAGGUGAAAUUCGUAGAUAUCGGGAGGAACACCAGUGGCGAAGGCGGCGAUCUGGGCAGAUACUGACGCUGAGGCGCGAAAGCGUGGGGAGCAAACAGG